UCGCGGCGACGUGGGCGGUUCGCUGCCCGCGACGUUGUGAGAAGUCCACUGAACCUUAUCAUUUAGAGGAAGGAGAAGUCGUAACAAGGUUUCCGUAGGUGAACCUGCGGAAGGAUCAUUG
rnacentral:rRNA from 1 species